UUAGCGUCGAAAACGCGAGGUUUUAAGGGGGUCUCUGAAAUGGCAUUUCCAGAGUUCUGAGAACAGAAUUUUUAAAAUCUUUGGCUAUUUUGCGUGGAUUUCAUUGAUAUAUUUUCAGUUUAAUAUAUUUUCAAGUACACACUUUUCAAUUUACAAGGGCACAUUCGCCUUUUACAAGGACACAAAGUGUGUACAAGGACACGCUAUUUUAAUGCCUG